GGGGAAAGAUUUAUCGCCAUUGGAUGGGCCCGCGUCGGAUUAGCUAGUUGGUGAGGUAAUGGCUCACCAAGGCGACGAUCCGUAGCUGGUCUGAGAGGAUGAUCAGCCACACUGGGACUGAGACACGGCCCAGACUCCUACGGGAGGCAGCAGUGGGGAAUAUUGGACAAUGGGCGCAAGCCUGAUCCAGCCAUGCCGCGUGAGUGACGAAGGCCUUAGGGUUGUAAAAGCUCUUUUGGCGGGGACGAUAAUGACGGUACCCGCAGAAUAAGCCCCGGCUAACUUCGUGCCAGCAGCCGCGGUAAUACGAAGGGGGCUAGCGUUGUUCGGAAUCACUGGGCGUAAAGCGCACGUAGCGGAUUUGUUAGUCAGGGUGAAAUCCGGGGCUCAACCUCGGAACUGCCUUUGAUACUGCAAGUCUCGAGUCCGGAAGAGGUGAGUGGAAUUCCUAGUGUAGAGGUGAAAUUCGUAGAUAUUAGGAAGAACACCAGUGGCGAAGGCGGCUCACUGGUCCGGU
rnacentral:rRNA from 1 species